GACGAACGCUGGCGGCGUGCCUAAUACAUGCAAGUUGAGCGCUGAAGGUUGGUACUUGUACCAACUGGAUGAGCAGCGAACGGGUGAGUAACGCGUGGGGAAUCUGCCUUUGAGCGGGGGACAACAUUUGGAAACGAAUGCUAAUACCGCAUAAAAACUUUAAACACAAGUUUUAAGUUUGAAAGAUGCAAUUGCAUCACUCAAAGAUGAUCCCGCGUUGUAUUAGCUAGUUGGUGAGGUAAAGGCUCACCAAGGCGAGGAUACAUAGCCGACCUGAGCGGGUGAGUGGCCAGAUUGGGAGUGAGACACGGCACAAACGCCUACGGGAGGCAGCAGGAGGGAAUCUGCGGCAAGGGGCGAAAGUCUGACCGAGCAACGCCGAGGGAGGGAAGAAGGUUGUCGGAUCGGAAAACUCGGUUGGUAGAGAAGAACGUUGGUGAGAGUGGAAAGCUCAUCAAGUGACGGUAACUACUCAGAAAGGGACGGCUAACUACGUG
rnacentral:rRNA from 1 species